GACGAACGCUGGCGGCGUGCUUAACACAUGCAAGUCGAACGAAGUGGCGAACGGGUGAGUAACGCGUAAUCAACCUGCCCUUCAGAGGGGGACAACAGUUGGAAACGACUGCUAAUACCGCAUAAUGAAGGAGGGGAUUGCGUCUGAUUAGGUGGUUGGAGGGGUAACGGCCCACCAAGGCGAUGAUAAGUAGCGGGGUUGAGAGGAUGAAAGGCCAAAUUGGGACUGAGAAACGGACCAGACUCCUAAGGGAGGCAGCAGUGGGGAAUUUUCCGCAAUGGACGAAAGGCUGACUGAGCAACGCCGCGUGAGUGAUGGCGGCCUUCGGGUUGGAAAGCUCUGUUAAUCGGGACGCGGUACCGGAAUAGAAAGCCAUGGCUAACUACGUGCCAGCAGCCGCGGUAAUUC
rnacentral:rRNA from 1 species